CUGGUGAACUAGAGAAUGCCGAGUCUGGAGGAGAUGGAGGCAGGAGAGGAGGGAAGCGGGAUGACGUUGCCUGGUGGAGGCGGAUGCAGAAGGGGACUUCUGCAAUCUGGCCCUUUUGGGGGCAGGCGUUGCCAUGGGAUUUUUCUACCUCUAUUUUCGAGAUCCUGGAAGAGAAAUCACUUGGAAGCACUUUGUAUAGUAUUACCUGGCCAGAGGUGGACCAGCUGGAAAUCCUGAACAAUUUGUGCGUGUUAUUCCUGCCCCUGGGAUCUCUUCUGAAGUCCCCCUGACAUCAAAGGCAGGGUCCUCCAUCUUUAAGGUCCACCUACGCCCACUGAAGCUGGACGAGAGCCUCAAUAAGGAUGUCCUGGCGAGGAAGCUGGCAGCGCUCACCCCAGGCUUCACUGAGGGGGAUGACUCAGCAGGGCUGACUCAGCACUACCCCUCAACAGAGAUGACUUAGCUUUGCCCCUCAGCAGGGAUGACUCUGAUGACUCUGCCCCUCAGCAGGGAUUACUAAGCACUACCUUUUAACAGGGAUGGCUCAGCACUGCCCCCCGACAGAGAUGACUGAGCAGGGAUGACUCAGCACUGCACUCCAACUGAGAGGACUCAGCAGGGAUGACUCAGCACUGCCCCCCAACGGAGAUGACUCAACAGGGAUGACUCAAUGCUGCUCCUCAGCAGGGAUGACUUAGCAGGGAUGACUCAGCACUGCCCCCAACGGAGAUGACUCAACAGGAUGAUCAUGCUGCUCCAGCAGGGAUGACUUAGCAGGGAUGACUCAGCACUGCCCCUAACGGAGAUGACUCAGCAGGGAUGACUCAGCACUGCCCCCAACGGGGAUGACUCAGCAGGGAUGAUUCAGCAGAGAUGACUCAGUACUGCCCCUCAGCAGGGAUGACUCAGCAGGGAUGACCAGUAUUGCCCCUGAAUGGGGAUGACUCAGCAGGAAUGAUGCAGCAGGGAUGACUCAGCACUGCCCCUCAGCCAGGAUGACUCAGCAGGGAUGACUCAGCACUGCCCCUCAGCCAGGAUGACUCAGCAGGGAUGGCUCAGCACUGCCCCUCAGCAGGGAUGGCUCAGCACUGCCCCGCAGCAGGGAUGACUCAGCAGGGAUGGCUCAGUACUGCCUCUCAGCAGGGAUGACUAAGCAGGAAUGACUCAGCAGGGAUGACUUAGCACUAACCCCAACGGAGAUGACUCAGCAGAGGUGGCUCAGCAGGGAUGACUCAGCACUGCUCCUCAGCAGGGAUGACUCAGCAGGGAUGACUCAGGACUGCCCCCCCAACAGUGAUGACUCAGGAGGGAUCACUCAGCACUGCCCCCAACAGGUAUGGCUCAGCAGGGAUGACUCAGCACUGCCCCCCCAACGGUGAUGACUCAGCAGGGAUGACUCAGCACUGCCCCCCAACAGGUAUGGCUCAGCAGGGAUGACUCACCACUGCCCCCAACAGGGAUAACUCAGCAGGGAUGACUCAGCACUGCCCCCAACGUGGAUGGCUCAGGAGGGAUGACUCAGCACUGCCACCAACAGGGAUGGCUCAGCAGGGAUGACUCAUUACCGCCCCCCCACGGGGAUGACUCAGCAGGGAUGACUCAGCACUGCCACUCAACAGGGGUAGCUCAGUAGGGAUGACUCAGCACUGCCCCCCAAUGGGGUUGACUCAGCAGGGAUGACUCAGCACUGCCAACUGCCCCCCAACGGGGAUGACUCAGCAGGGAUGACUCAGCACUGCACUCAACAGGGGUGGCUCAGCAGGGAUGACUCAGCACUGCCCCCAACGGGGAUGACUCAGCAGGGAUGACUCGUCACUGCCCCCAACGGGGAUGACUCAGCACUGCCCCUCUACAGGGAUGACUCAGCAGGGAUGACUCAGCACUGCCCCUCAGCAGGGAUGACUCAGCAGUGAUAACUCAGCACUGCCCCUCAGCAAGGAUGACUCAGCAGGGAUGAUUCAGCAGAGAUAACUUGGGGAUGACUCUGACUGCCCCUCAGCAUGGAUGAGUCUGUUUUGCUCCAAUGGAAGCAUCCAUAGUGUCCAUCAGCAGGUGAAUGGCUAAAGUGGUAUAUACUGUAGUCAAAUUCUGCUAUAAAAAGGAAUAAAGUAUUGAUGCAUGCCACAACAUGGGUGAACCUGGAAAAUACUGUUCUAAAUGCAAGAGGCCAGGAACAAAAGGCCACAUAAUAUAUGUUCCCAUUUAUGUGAAAUGUGCAGAAUAAUAAUAAAAAUGUAUAGAAUAGCAAAUCUGUAGGGACAGACAUGAAGUGAGUGGUUGCCAGAAGUGGAAAUGAGAGUUAACUAUAAAUAGCAUAGGGUACCUUACAGAGAUGAUGGAAAUGUCCUAAAACUAGAUUAUGGCAAUGGUUGCACCACAUGAUCCGUUUAUUAAAAAUCGUUGAUGUGUGUGUGUAAAAUGGAUGGAUUUUAUGAUUUAUAAAUUAUACCUUAAUAAAGGUUAACAAAAAAUGUGGCU
rnacentral:sRNA from 1 species